rnacentral:rRNA from 1 species
UACGGGGGGGGUAAGCGUUGUUCGGAAUUACUGGGCGUAAAGGGCUCGUAGGCGGCCAACUAAGUCGGACGUGAAAUCCCCUCAGCUUAACUGGGGAACUGCGUCUGAUACUGGAUGGCUUGGAUUGGGAGAGGGAUGCGGAAUUCCAGGUGUAGCGGUGAAAUGCGUAGAUAUCUGGAGGAACACCGGUGGCGAAGGCGGCAUCCUGGACCAACAUUGACGCUGAGGAGCGAAAGCCAGGGGAGCAAACAGG